rfam:Gossypium raimondii chromosome 6, whole genome shotgun sequence.
AUCCCAUGAUAACGACACUUACGAAGUAAUUUCUUGAAUCUUUCCCAUGCCUCAUAGAAAUACUCGUCAUCCAAAUGUUGGAAAGUAGUUAUCUAAUUAUGCAACU